ACACGUGGAGCGACGAGCGAGAGAGGUCGAUUGAAUUCGUUUGUUAUUAGUUAUCUUAUAUGUGAUUAAAGAGACGUAGUUACGGACAGAAUACAACAGUUGUGACUUCGGCAAGUCUGAUGAACGAUUCAAGUUCAGUCAAUCGUUUGAGUAUCCUUAACAGUCUGAUGGAUGAGUCAAGCCCAGUCUACCCUCUGUUGUGACGGCGGUAAAUCGUACAGAAUAUAUUGGGCAUCAGAUGCAAUUUGCGGCAACGUGGACAUUGUCGCGUUAGCUUUUUCUGACCACUUUUUCGUCCGUUCAUGCAAAAUGUUGGAUCGUCGGUAAAACAAGGAGCAGUAAAGAAGCUUUUAACGGUACUUCUAAGCCCCUGCGUCUUGGUUUGGCAAGAGCUAUGAACGUGCCUGAAGAAACUCCAGUUUGUUUACAUCAUCGUCGCACGAUCGUGAAGCAGGAUAGUUGCUGCUCAUCGCCGUUUUCCGACCGACAUUCCAAUUAAUUAAACUUAAUUCCUGUAAGCCUUUUCGAAAUUUUGGACAUACAGGGAAGAAAGAAAGCGACACAUAAAUCAGGGAGCACGUGGUGUGACGCCUGUGAAAUAAAAUUUUACAGAAGUGCCGAAGGAGACUGAGGAAAGAGACUCUAGGAUUGUAAAAAUUACGAAACAAGAAGCCAUUUAUUUGUUAACCAAUGUUAAAUAUCUAUCAGGUAAACUUCCACUAUUUUAAUCAAGCUAAUAUUGGAGAGAAGGAAUUUUUCCCUCAUUGAUAUCUUGCAAUGGUUCCAUUACUUACUGUGUUGUCAAAAUAGCUUAGUUAAGUUUUCAUAACAUUAAAUUAUUUUGGAAUUUAA